GUGCCAGCCAUGCCGUCUCGUCAAAAUUCGAAAUUCUCCGGAAGGGAAAAGCAGCUCCUGGGCAGCCUGACCGUGAAAAGAACCAUUAUUAGGUCCAAGAAAAUGAAUCGAUUCGUGUUUCGGAAGAAGAAGGAAGCGUGGAAUGAAAUUACAAAGGCCUUUAACGCAGAAGGAAUUGGAAAAACUCGGACUGCAAGUGAACUGAAAAGUCUGUGGGGUAACCGAAACAAAGAAGUCGACGUACAGCAAAGCGGCGCCUCCCAGGACACACUGGCGACCGGGCAUAAUGAACAUUAAGCCAGGGCACAGCAGAUGCAUCCCGUAACCCUCCUCAUAGUGAAGGAAGCGAUGCGGGUAGAUCUGUAGCCCCUGCAGGUGGGCAACAGAUUUAUGCUGGUACUGUGAAGGUUGAAAUCCCUGUUCAAGAGAGUGCUACUGAUGAAGUAUUAGCUGCUAGUACUGAUUUGGAUCACGAUACGAAGGAGAAUAUUAUUCCUGUUUAUGCAGUGGAAGAAGGGAUGUGGAAGGCCAAGAUAUUGGAGACACAGGCCAAGAUAGAGGAAGCCCAGCUGAAGAGCUUAGAAAGACAAGCCAACAUAGAAGAGGUCCAGUUAAGGUGUCUGGAGAGGCAAGCCAGGUCGAAUGAAGCCAAACUGAAGGUUCACGAGAGAAAGGCGAAACUAGAUGAGGUUCAUUUGAGAAACCUGGAG